rnacentral:rRNA from 1 species
CUUUAUAUAAGGACUAGUAUGAACGGCAUCACGAGGGUUACACUGUCUCCCCUGUUCAAUCAGUGAAACUAAUCCCCCCGUGAAGAAGCGGGGAUAUUUUUAUAAGACGAGAAGACCCCAUGGAGCUUUAAACCCAGUAUCACUUGCAUCCAUUACACCAUGUAAAUUAGCAAACCUGACUACUAGUUUUUGGUUGGGGGUGACCGCGGAGCAAAAUAAAACCUCCACAACGAAUGGAACUAACUUCCUAAUCAAAGAGCUACAACUCACAGAAUCAACAUAUUGACUAAAAUUGACCAAUAAUUUUGAACAACGAAACAAAGUUACCUGGGGAUAACAGCGCAAUUCAAUUUCAAGAGCCCCUAUCGACAAAUGGGGUUUACGACCUCCAUGUUGGAUCAGGUUGUCCAAGUGGUGGAGCCACUACUAAAGGUUCGUUGGUUCACGAUUAAAACCCUCCUGAAUCGGAGUUUCGAACCGGAGA